AGUCCAGCUGUUCGAAUGUGCCAGUGUAUAGAACUCUCUCUCCCACUGCCCCCCUCCUCCCAUCACUCCUGUGAACGAGCACUGACGGCACCUUUUGCUGAUUGGCUGGAACGAUGUUGUGGGCAAGGAUUCCAGUACCAGCGUCUUUGUUUCACCAUUCACGACUCGCUGCCUCAGCUCAACUUCCACCAUACUACACCUUCAGCUUGCCUGCCUUCAUACUGUCUGCCUAAACAUACUGUAAUGCUGUAGCUGCCACGAGCAGAUAUUGUAGGCCUAUUACAAAAUCUGAUAUUUGGCAAAAAACAAAUAAAAUGUGUUUUCAGUGA